CCUACGGGAGGCAGCAGUGGGGAAUAUUGCACAAUGGGGGAAACCCUGAUGCAGCGACGCCGCGUGAGUGAAGAAGUAAUUCGUUAUGUAAAGCUCUAUCAGCAGGGAAGAAAAUGACGGUACCUGAGUAAGAAGCCCCGGCUAACUACGUGCCAGCAGCCGCGGUAAUCCGUAGGGGGCAAGCGUUAUCCGGAUUUCCUGGGUGUAAAGGGAGCGUAGACGGCAGUGCAAGUCUGGAGUGAAAGGCGGGGGCUCAACCCCCGGACUGCUUUGGAAACUGUCCGGCUGGAGUGCAGGAGAGGUAAGUGGAAUUCCUGGUGUAGCGGUGAAAUGCGUAGAUAUUAGGAGGAACACCAGUGGCGAAGGCGGCUUACUGGACUGUAACUGACGUUGAGGCUAGAAAGCGUGGGGAGCAAACAGGAUUAGAUACCCGGGUAGUC
rnacentral:rRNA from 1 species